AUUGAACGCUGGCGGCAUGCUUUACACAUGCAAGUCGAACGGUAACAGGGAGCUUGCUCCGCUGACGAGUGGCGAACGGGUGAGUAAUAUAUCGGAACGUACCCAAGAGUGGGGGAUAACGUAGCGAAAGUUACGCUAAUACCGCAUACGAUCUAAGGAUGAAAGCAGGGGAUCUUCGGACCUGGUGCUCCUGGAGCGGACGAUAUCUGAUUAGCUAGUUGGUGAGGUAAAGGCUCACCAAGGCGACCAUCAGUAGCUGGUCUGAGAGGUCGACCAGCCACACUGGAACUGAGACACGGUCCAGACUCCUACGGGAGGCAGCAGUGGGGAAUUUUGGACAAUGGGCGCAAGCCUGAUCCAGCAAUGCCGCGUGAGUGAAGAAGGCCUUCGGGUUGUAAAGCUCUUUUGUCAGGGAAGAAACGGGAGUGGCUAAUAUCCAUUCCUAAUGACGGUACCUGAAGAAUAAGCACCGGCUAACUACGUGCCAGCCGCCGCAGUAACAC
rnacentral:rRNA from 1 species